UACGGAGGGGGCUAGCGUUGUUCGGAAUUAUUGGGCGUAAAGGGUGCGUAGGCGGCUUAAUAAGUUAAAUGUGAAAGCCUCGGGCUCAACCCGAGAAGUGCAUUUAAAACUAUUAGGCUUGAAUAUGAGAGAGGGCAAUGGAAUUUCUGGUGUAGGGGUGAAAUCCGUAGAUAUCAGGAGGAACGUCAGGGGCGAAAGCGAUUGCCUGGAUCAUUAUUGACGCUGAGGCACGAAAGCGUGGGGAGCAAACAGG
rnacentral:rRNA from 1 species